rnacentral:rRNA from 1 species
AUUGAACGCUGGCGGCAGGCCUAACACAUGCAAGUCGAACGAGUGGCGGACGGGUGGGCAAGGUAUGGGAAAGUGCCUGAUGGAGGGGGAUAACGACUGGAAACGGUAGCAAAUACCGCAUAAAAUCGGCUGUGCCCAGAUGGGAUUAGCGAGUAGGUGGGGUAAAGGCUCACCGAGGCGACGAUCCCUAGCUGGUCUGAGAGGAUGACCAGCCACACUGGAACUGAGACACGGUCCAGACUCCUACGGGAGGCAGCAGUGGGGAAUAUUGGACAAUGGGCGAAAGCCUGAUGCAGCCAUGCCGCGUGUAUGAAGAAGGCCUUCGGGUUGUAAAGUACUUUCAGCGGGGAGGCGUUACCCGCAGAAGAAGCACCGGCUAACUCCGUGCCAGCAGCCGCGGUAAUAC